CUGCGCCUGCGCGGCACCUGCGGUUCCGGGUUCCGCCGGGGGGGCGGCCCAGCCGGCUGCGGUGUGCUCUGCGGCGGCGUCACUGCAGGGCCAGAGGCUGAGUGUUAAAAGUUGUUGUGCGGUACUGGGGGUGAACCCGGGGUGCCCUUGUAGAGGCACUCUCUCCCCCACAGGAAAUCGGAAUUAAACUCCUCCAGAAGGCGUCUCCGUAACUGAUCUUAGGACUCUCAGCAAGAGCCUCUGCAGGGGCUCAGGGUCCUGGAGCUUCCUGGCUCCUGUUGCCUCACCUGGCCCCCGGCCUGGGCGGUCGGCGCGCCAGGUGUGCAGCACCGCUCUACUGUUUCUUCACCGACAUCUGUGAACUAUGGAGCACGUGUAUGUGAAACAGUUUGUAAAGGCUUUCAAGGGAAGUGUGUCUGCAAAUGCAGAGUGUGAUAAGAAAAAUAGGUUCUCUUAACUAGAUCCCUGGCCUUGAUGUUUACAUAUCAAAGAUAAUGUCACUAGCUGGCUCUGUGGUGACAGCUGGCAGGGUGAGGGAAGGAAAGGGGAGAAGACUCCCCUUCUCAGUCGCUGUCCUUGAAGGGUUAACAUGCCCAGAACAGUAAAAAGAAAAAGCCUUUCUUGUGUGUGAACUUGACUGUGAACUUCUGAGCCUCUCCUUACACGCUGGGCAUAAAGUUCUGAAACUGCCUGAACUUGGAGUUCAGGGGGAUUAAUUGAUUACAGCAAAAGCUGUACCCUCUGAGCCUGGCGGCAGCCAAAUAAAACUGAUUCCUGCUA
rnacentral:lncRNA from 1 species